rnacentral:rRNA from 1 species
ACGAACGCUGGCGGCGUGCUUCACCCCUGCCAGUCGAACGCUGAAGCUCAGCUUUUGUUGGGUGGAUGAGUGGCGAACGGGUGAGUAACACGUGAGUAACCUGCCUCCUUCUUUGGGAUAACGCCCGGAAACGGGUGCUAAUACUGGAUAUUCACUGGUCUUCGCAUGGGGGUUGGUGGAAAGGGUUUUUCUGGUGGGGGAUGGGCUCGCGGCCUAUCAGCUUGUUGGUGGGGUGAUGGCCUACCAAGGCUUUGACGGGUAGCCGGCCUGAGAGGGUGACCGGUCACAUUGGGACUGAGAUACGGCCCAGACUGCUACGGGAGGCAGCAGUGGGGAAUAUUGCACAAUGGGCGCAAGCCUGAUGCAGCGACGCCGCGUGAGGGAUGGAGGCCUUCGGGUUGUGAACCUCUUUCGCUCAUGGUCAAGCCGCAACAAUGGUUGUGGUGAGGGUAGUGGGUAAAGAAGCGCCGGCUAACUACGUG